rnacentral:lncRNA from 1 species
UGCGGGCAGCCUUACGUCCGUCCUGCUCCUUACCGUGAACGACCUGAUCACCAGAGGAUGAACCUGGACGUCUUUGUGAAUCUGGACCAGUCAACACAAGAAUCCGCACCUUGACCAGUCUUUAGUCAAAGUCUUCAUUUUUAGUUUCUAUGUCUUGUUUUCAUUCAUUUCUAUUUUCUAUGUUGUCUUUUUCCCACAAAUGUCUUUAUGUUUCUUUGACUCA